GUGCCAGCAGCCGCGGUAAUACGUAGGUGGCAAGCGUUAUCCGGAAUUAUUGGGCGUAAAGCGCGCGUAGGCGGUUUUUUAAGUCUGAUGUGAAAGCCCACGGCUCAACCGUGGAGGGUCAUUGGAAACUGGAAAACUUGAGUGCAGAAGAGGAAAGUGGAAUUCCAUGUGUAGCGGUGAAAUGCGCAGAGAUAUGGAGGAACACCAGUGGCGAAGGCGACUUUCUNGGUCUGUAACUGACGCUGAUGUGCGAAAGCGUGGGGAU
rnacentral:rRNA from 1 species